rnacentral:rRNA from 1 species
CAGUCGCCGCGGUAAUACGUAGGGUGCAAGCGUUAAUCGGAAUUACUGGGCGUAAAGCGUGCGCAGGCGGUUUGUUAAGACAGAUGUGAAAUCCCCGGGCUCAACCUGGGAACUGCAUUUGUGACUGGCAAGCUAGAGUAUGGCAGAGGGGGGUGGAAUUCCGCGUGUAGCAGUGAAAUGCGUAGAUAUGCGGAGGAACACCGAUGGCGAAAGCAGCCCCCUGGGCCGAUACUGACGCUCAUGCACGAAAGCGUGGGGAGCAAACAGGAUUAGAUACCCGUGUAGUCCCUGUCUCUUAUAC